ACAUGUCAAAAAGCUAAGUCACGACUCAAUCCUCAUGGUUUAUAUAUGCCUUUGCCUGUACCUAGUGUUCCUUGGGAGGAUAUAUCUAUGGACUUUGUUUUAGGUUUACCUCGAACAAAGAAGGGGAUGGAUAGCAUAUUUGUUGUCGUGGAUAGGUUCUCGAAAAUGGCACACUUUAUACCAUGUCAUAAAAGCGAUGAUGCUGUUAAUGUUGCUGAUUUGUUCUUUCGUGAAAUUAUUCGCUUGCAUGGUGUGCCAAAUACUAUUGUUUCAUAUCGUGAUACUAAAUUUCUUAGCCAGUUUUGGAGAUGUUUAUGGGCUAAGUUGGGGACUAAACUGCUUUUUAGUACUACUUGUCACCCCCAAACUGAUGGACAAACUGAAGUAGUCAAUAGA
rnacentral:rRNA from 1 species